GUUUCCGUAGGUGAACCUGCGGAAGGAUCAUUCU
rnacentral:rRNA from 2 species